CAAGUUGAGGCACUUCCGACUUCGCGCCCGGGGAACUACGGCUGCCCCUGCUGGCGGGACCCAGGGCUGAUAGAAACAGGUCCCGCCUCCACGUGCACCCACACACUUUUCCUGCAUUAUGAAGCUGAGCAGCCUCUCCCUGCUCGCUGUGACCGUCCUCCUUUGCCUCCACAUGGCCCAGCCUGGAGUCGGAAAAGCUGUACCUAAACCAGGAUACUGCCCGGAGUUUACUCUUUCCUGCCCUUUCGCCAUGUUUCCUAAGUGCCGGCGUGACAGAAGUUGCCAGGAGAGCAAGAAGUGCUGCUACUACAACUGCCGACAUCAGUGUAUGGACCCGUGGUGGUCUCUGGACUGAGAUGGAAACCUCUUUCUAACCAGGCCUGAGGAGAUGCUGCAGGCUCAGACAUAGAUAACUGGUCUCCAAUUCUUCCAAGGCUUGCUUUUGGCAAGAGUUAAAUGCUUACUAAUAUAACAACAAAACAAAGAAAUAAAGCAUCAUCUAUUUGAAACUCCA